GAAAACUUUGCAAUGUGCGAAAGCACGACAAGGUUAAUCCGAGUGGUUUCUGCUAAAGAAACCUUUUGUCAGUCCUAGAAACACUAACGAAUAAGGGGUGGGCAAGUUCUGGUGUCAGCCGCCGCGGUAAAACCAGCACCUCAAGUGGUCAGGAUGAUUAUUGGGCCUAAAGCAUCCGUAGCUCGUUUUGUAAGUUUUCGGUUAAAUCCAUGCGCUUAACGUAUGGGCUGCCGGGAAUACUGCAUAACUAGGAAGUGGGAGAGGUAGACGGUACUCGGUAGGAAGGGGUAAAAUCCUUUGAUCUAUUGAUGACCACCUGUGGCGAAGGCGGUCUACCAGAACACGUUCGACGGUGAGGGAUGAAAGCUGGGGGAGCAAACCGG
rnacentral:rRNA from 1 species